rnacentral:rRNA from 1 species
UACGGAAGGGGGCUAGCGUUGCUCGGAAUGACUGGGCGUAAAGGGCGCGUAGGCGGCUUGCACAGUCAGGCGUGAAAUUCCUGGGCUCAACCUGGGGACUGCGCUUGAGACGUGUGGGCUUGAGUGGGGAAGAGGGUCGUGGAAUUCCCAGUGUAGAGGUGAAAUUCGUAGAUAUUGGGAAGAACACCGGUGGCGAAGGCGGCGACCUGGUCCUUGACUGACGCUGAGGCGCGAAAGCGUGGGGAGCAAACAGG